GGGUUUCUUUUACAUUUAGACCCCUGACAAAUUUUUAUUUUAAAAUUAGCCCUGUCAAAAUUUAAUUUGCAAAAAUGGUCCUGGGCCUGCCACGCAGGCGCCACGUCAGCGCCACGUGGGCAGGGACAAACACGGUGAAUGGUUCACCGUGUUUAGUACGUAUUUUUUGUAUAUUGAAAAGAGGAAUAGGGAGUAGGGAUGUCAAUAUGUAUGGAUAUCCGAAAUAUUAUCUGAAUCCAAAGUCCAAACCCGAAUAAAUUAUAUUUAUAUAUAUAUNAUAUAUAUAUAUAUAUAUAUAUAUAUAUAUAUAUAUAUAUAUAUAUAUAUAUAUACAUAAUUUAUUUUUAUUUAUUUAUACAAUAUAUAAAAUAUUUAAUAAUUUUUAUUUCAUAGAUCUUCAUCCAACGGUAUAGAUUUUUAAAACCCGCUGGGUUCAGGUUCGGGUUUCGAGUUUUUGGUCGGAUAUGGAUAUGGGUAUGAAUUUUUAAAAUCCGUCGGGUUCGGUUCCGGGUUUGAAUUUUAAUUUGAUUUUCGGGUUCGGGUACGGAUUUUUGAAAAAGAGAAGAAAAGGAAUACAAAUUUCCUAUUCCUCUUUUCAAUAUACAAAAAAUACGUAUUAAACACGGUGAACCAUUCACCGUGUUUAGACACGGUGAAUGGUUCACCAUGUUUAACUUUACUACCGCCCCCAGCCCUACUCGCGUGGUGCUGACGUGGCGCCUGCGUCGCAGGUCUAUGGCCAUUUUUGCAAAUUAAAUUUUGACAGGGCUAUUUUUAAAAUAAAAAUUUGCUAAGGGGCUAAAUGCAAAAAAAGCCCGCUAUUCCUGCUGUCUCCUUUGGAAUCAUUGGUGUGCAAUAAAUUCCUACUGUAAUUACCAUUUUACCGUUUGGCUUAGGUUUUGAAAAAAAAAGUUCUGCAGUAGAGUUAAUUUUGAUUUAGAGAACUCAUUUUGAUUAAAAUCUAUCAAGCGUUUGAUUGAAUUUAAAUAAAAGUAAUUUUUCUGAAGUGAUUUCGUAAAACUGUUUGGUAAAAUAUUUUUAAUAUUUACAAAUAAUAAUUUUUUACUAAAUUUUAUUUUAAAAUAAUUUAAAUUUUGAAUUUAGAUUUAAAUUUUAGAUUUAAAAAUUUUAAAUUUGCCAAAAAUUUAAAAAAUUUUGAUAUUUUAAUUAAAAAUAUAAGUUUGAAAUUUAAAAUUUUUAAAUUUAAAAUUUGAAUUCUUAAAUUCAAAUUUUAAAACUUAAAUUUAAAUCAAAAUGUAAAAUAUAAGAUUUAAAACAUAAAAUUUGAGAAAUUAAAAUUUAAAAUUUAAAAAAUUUAAAACUUAAAAUUCAAAAUUUAAAAGUCGAAAUUAAAAUUUAAAAUUUGAAUCUAAAAUCCAAAUAAAAAUUUAAAAUUUUGAGUUCAAAAUCAGAAUCAGAUUUCAAGAAGCAAGUUUUAGCUGCUUCUGAUUUUGGGUUUCGAAAAUUAAAAAACUGAUUGUAAAAAUCAAAAUCAAUUUUUAAAAAGAAAAUUACCAAACGCUCUAUUGAGUCGAAAAUCACUUCUGGACCCAAAAUUACUUUUUAGAAGUUAGGCCAAAUACCCACUAUAGUUGAUCCAAUAUAUGUACUUCUAAAUCAGUUUGAGUAUACGGGGCAAUUGAUCUGUACAUAAAGUAGUGAUCUAUACAUUGGUUCUUAGCAUUAGUCUGAUAUUCAUCCUACGUGACAUAUUUACCUUCUCAUUAAUUUGUCAACGCAGAGGAUUGGAACUCAAAACCUUGUAUUAUAAUAGAAGUAUUUAAAAUUAACUCAAGUACUAUAUUAUUUAUAAAAUUGAUCAAAUAAAAAACUGACAAAAAAAUAUAGUUAACACCCGAAACACACAAACCAAAUAGAUUAUCUAUCAAUUUUUUUACAGCACUAGUAAAAGAUAAUAUUUCUCCUUAAUAAUUUUCAAACAUCCCUUCAAAUAUUUUCAAACCUCUAGACUUCGCAAAUAAAAUUUAGAGUUUAAAAAAUAUUUUGAUUGUGAAGCCAUUUCUCAGGGUCAUCUAUCUUAGGCCUACUCUACCUCUGAUACGUCUCUUGAGUUUAGCCACUGUCCAAAAUAUUAUAACGGGAUUAAAAGUUUUAAUCCUAUUAUAUCUUAUAUGUAAAACUAUCUGAUAUAUCACAUUUUCUCCUGCUUUAAGUCCUAACAUUCUUGUCAGGUUUAGACUCAUAAGUAUCAUGCGAUGUGAGACUUGUCUCGCUAGUCUUAACCAAGCUCGCAUCUCCGUAAGACUCGUCCCGUUAGCCUUAACCGACCUUGUGGUAGAGCUGCGCUCUAUCCACAACAGUCAUUAAUAUGAGAGACUCGCUCUUCCCGCUUUAUAAUUAUGAUUCAAAUGAGACUCAACUCACAUUUUUAGUAUAAUUUUGACUCAGCUGAGACUCAUCUCAUAUUUUCAGUAUAAUUCUGACUCAGCCGAUACUCAAAUUACAUUUUCGACUGAUAACUAGCUCUGAUAUCAAUUAUAAUACCCCACUUCUCAAGGGCCACCUAUUUUAUGACUAUUCUAACUCUAGCACGCCUAACUCUCUUAAUUAUUUGGAUCUAAUCAUCGUCUAAAAUACUAUAAUCAGGUUAAAAAUUUUAGCUCUAUUAUAUCUUAUAUAUAGAAUAUAAGGUCUCACAUAAAUGAUUUUAAAAUAAAUUUAAAAAUUUUGAACAAUAGUAAAGGGUAAAUAAGGAAAAGGACAUAAAAUCAUGUCUGGGCUCCUUAUUACUUUGUGCAAGCGUGUUUUGUGGGCAAAAAUUGCAUGGACAUAGUGUCCAAAUUAGCAUCUUUGGGGACGCUCUUGUUGGGCACCACGUGGCUCGCAGACACCCAUCCCACCGUCCCUCUUCCUUCCUCUACUUCUUUCUCUCUAAAAAAAUCAUUUUUUUUAAAAAAAAAGGGACGGUGAGAUGGAUGCUUGCGAGCCACGUGGCGCCUAUUCGAAACAUCCCAAAAAAUGUUAAUGUGGACACUAUAUCCACACAAUUUUUGCCCGCUUCAAAGCAUGGGUCAAAAUAUUAAAUUGACUCAAAGAGAGAGAGAGAGAGAGAGAGAGAGAGAUACAUCACACAUUCACAUGCAGAAAAAUAUAAAAGAAAAACUUCAAAUAUCACUCCUGUAAUUUCGUAUUUACUUACUUAGUAUCUUGUAAUUUAAAGUGUAUCAAGUUAGUGUUAUAUGAUUUCAUUUUUCUCUUUUUAUUAUCCAUUUCACUAAUUUUUUUUCAUUAAACCAGUAACAAAAUUAAAACUAAAGGAUACUAAAAUGAAUAUCGAUAAAGCUAGGUGGAGUAUCCGAAGUUUUUUUUGCAUAUAAUUUAACAAACUAUUAACGGAGGAACUGACGAAAAGAAAAAAAUAAAAUUAGAUGACACUAACUUGAUACACUUUAAACCAUAUGAUACUAAAAUGAGAAAGUGCAAAACUACAGAGGUGAUAUUUAAAAUUUACCCGAAUAUAAAUAUAUUAUUUAAAAUGCAGUUGUUAGUAAAAAGCAAAAUUUGUGGUGGUACUAUUGCAGAUCAAAAGGCUGAACAUGGAAAAGUAUGCAGUAUUCAUAUGCUUCUCAGAUCAGUAAGAUAAAUUUUGGGAGAGUUGGAAGAGAAUAAGAUAAAUUUUGUGUUGUAGUACCUACAAGACGGAUUCGGCUUUCAGCGUGAUCAAAGGCAAAUAGAUCAAAUGUGAAAAUAUGCUUACAUGCUUUUCAAUGGAACUACAAAAAUCAUAUCAUAUCUUUAAAACUGAAUUAGCCUAGAUGUUAUGUAAACUGAACUAUCCUUAACUAACAGGAAAGAUACAUGAAUCAAGCUCAGAACCUCUUAAAACAGAAGGGAAUGAAGAAUGACUCAGAAUACUGUAUUAUCCACCAAAUUAAUAUAUAUAUAUAUAUAUAUAUAUAUAUAUAUAUAUAUAUAUAUAUAUAUAUAUAUAUAUACAUAAUUUAUUUUUAUUUAUUUAUACAAUAUAUAAAAUAUUUAAUAAUUUUUAUUUCAUAGAUCUUCAUCCAACGGUAUAGAUUUUUAAAACCCGCUGGGUUCAGGUUCGGGUUUCGAGUUUUUGGUCGGAUAUGGAUAUGGGUAUGAAUUUUUAAAAUCCGUCGGGUUCGGUUCCGGGUUUGAAUUUUAAUUUGAUUUUCGGGUUCGGGUACGGAUUUUUGAAAAAGAGAAGAAAAGGAAUACAAAUUUCCUAUUCCUCUUUUCAAUAUACAAAAAAUACGUAUUAAACACGGUGAACCAUUCACCGUGUUUAGACACGGUGAAUGGUUCACCAUGUUUAACUUUACUACCGCCCCCAGCCCUACUCGCGUGGUGCUGACGUGGCGCCUGCGUCGCAGGUCUAUGGCCAUUUUUGCAAAUUAAAUUUUGACAGGGCUAUUUUUAAAAUAAAAAUUUGCUA
rnacentral:lncRNA from 1 species